rnacentral:rRNA from 1 species
GACAGAGGAUGCAAGCGUUAUCCGGAAUGAUUGGGCGUAAAGCGUCUGUAGGUGGCUUUUCAAGUCCGCCGUCAAAUCCCAGGGCUCAACCCUGGACAGGCGGUGGAAACUACCAAGCUGGAGUACGGUAGGGGCAGAGGGAAUUUCCGGUGGAGCGGUGAAAUGCGCAGAUAUCAGGAGGAACACCGGUGGCGAAGGCGGCACGCUGGACCCUCCCUGACGCUGAGGCGCGAAAGCCAGGGGAGCGAACGGG